GCAAGUCGAACGCGAAAGUUUUCUUCGGAAAAUGAGUAGAGUGGCGCACGGGUGAGUAACGCGUAAGUAAUCUACCCUGAUAUCUGGGAUAACAAUUGGAAACGAUUGCUAAUACCGGAUACGUUGAUUUAUCAAGAAAGAUGGCCUCUUCAUGAAAGCUAUUGUAUCAGGAGGAGCUUGCGUACCAUUAGCUAGUUGGUGGGGUAAUGGCCUACCAAGGCGACGAUCAGUAGCCGACCUGAGAGGGUGAUC
rnacentral:rRNA from 1 species